rnacentral:rRNA from 1 species
GAUCAUGGCUCAGAACGAACGCUGGCGGCAUGCCUAACACAUGCAAGUCGAACGAGAUCUUCGGGUCUAGUGGCGCACGGGUGCGUAACGCGUGGGAAUCUGCCCUUUGGUUCGGAAUAACAGUUGGAAACGACUGCUAAUACCGGAUGAUGACGAAAGUCCAAAGAUUUAUCGCCAGAGGAUGAGCCCGCGUAGGAUUAGCUAGUUGGUGUGGUAAAGGCGCACCAAGGCGACGAUCCUUAG